ACAGGGGGGGUACGGAUAUUAAAUGGAAUAGCCCAAUUUUGGCAGUAAAACGGCGAUUUUAAGCGCAGUAACCGAUCAAUCUUCAUUUUCUGCACGAAUUUUGCAAAUAAAUGGCACACUGCGUCUUCUUAGCGAAAGGGAAUUGAACGAAUACCAUUUUUAACGGCGAAAAUGAGAAAAGACACCCGAAGGAGUGAGAAUUUCUGGCAAUCUGAAGAUUCGAUUCUGUAGACAUGAACUCCAGCUGGAACUUGGCAACUUUAUAUGUGAGUUUUUUUUCUCUAGCUCAUAUAUAUGAAAUUAUCAAUAUAUUUUUGUGAAGUGCUAUGUUGUAUGAAAGGGUUGUCGUUAAUUUAAACAUUGCAUAAACAGCAUUCAGAUACGAAAAUGAACAUCAACAUUCAACAUGGACUGAUGGAGAUAUGGACAUGGAGCCACAGUACUCUAAAAUACUCAUAUAGACUUUAUUUAACUUAUAUGUUGACCCAAUGGUGGGGGAUUGGUCAAAUUAUACUUUAUAGUGAUUCCCCUAAAUUAGUGCAUUGGUUAUUGACAGUGCACUGACAACCUUUUUUUGGCUCUCAAAGACAAUUUCUCAGACAUGCCAAGUCACUGUACAUGUUUAAUAAAAAUCUAAUCUGUUUAUUUAUUUUAUUUUUUAUUUUGCUUUUCUAGAUUGCCAAUCAUUCCUGUUGAACUACAUUAUUCAUUACAAUGAAUCAGAUGCAGAAUCUUACAACUAUGUUAAUUUGUUCGCCUGAUUGGGGAAAACCUGAGACUAUUUGAUCUUAUAUUGGAAUGCCUACCAAUUUUACAUAGCCUCAGGCAAUGUUUAUAUAAUUAAUCUUGAGUAAUAGAGAUGCUGUACCCCCUGGCGGUGUGACCUUGCUACCUGGAUCAUCCCACUAGGCAAGACAAGUUCAAAACUUUCCAUGCAAACACUUUCAUGGCAGUUAAUUGCUAUAAUAGGAUAUGAAUAUAAUUUUGCCUUGCCAGGGUGGCUUGGGGGGGGAGUAGGAUUUCCCUAGUACCCGGAGACCAUAUAAACAGGCCUUCAGAUUACUGUAAUAGUUUAAUUGAGGUUCAAAAAAGCAGCCCCCCCCCCCCAAUGCAACUAAAAGUGGUAGGCCUGCUCUCCAAAUCCAGCCCCCCUUGGAAGAUGUACUGUAAAGCUAGACAAUUUUACUUGUUAGUUACCCAACUUGGUGCCCUGAUGCACCCUACUUUAUUAUUUUACUCUGUCUAACAGCAGACAAUUUUACUCAUCAAGGGGUGGGCACAUGACUUUAAAGGGAAAGUAUUAAUUGGGAAUACUUUCUCUUUUAAUGGGAAACUCUUUAUCAAUAAAAGGAACAAUGCAAUUAUUCAUAGUAUUUAACUUUUCAUAUAAAGCAGAGACUGUAAGAGGAAACAUGGAUCAUUGGCUACUUUUUUUAUUUAGUAUUAAUUUUCAUGACAACAUGUGGGGUCAACUAUAAAG